AGAGUUUGAUCCUGGCUCAGGAUGAACGCUAGCUACAGGCUUAACACAUGCAAGUCGAGGGGAAACGACAUCGAAAGCUUGCUUUUGAUGGGCGUCGACCGGCGCACGGGUGAGUAACGCGUAUCCAACCUGCCCCACCACUUGGGGAUAACCUUGCGAAAGUAAGACUAAUACCCAAUGAUAUCUCUAGAAGACAUCUGAAAGAGAUUAAAGAUUUAUCGGUGAUGGAUGGGGAUGCGUCUGAUUAGCUUGUUGGGCGGGGUAACGGCCCACCAAGGCAACGAUCAGGUAGGGGUUCUGGGAAGAAGGUCCCCCACAUUGGAACUGAGACACGGUCCAAACUCCUACGGGAGGCAGCA
rnacentral:rRNA from 1 species